rnacentral:rRNA from 2 species
GUCACGACUCUCGGCAAUGGAUAUCUCGGCUCUCGCAUCGAUGAAGAGCGCAGCGAAAUGCGAUACGUGGUGCGAAUUGCAGAAUCCCGCGAAC